rnacentral:rRNA from 1 species
UACGAAGGGGGCUAGCGUUGUUCGGAUUUACUGGGCGUAAAGCGCACGUAGGCGGAUCGUUAAGUGAGGGGUGAAAUCCCAGGGCUCGAACCCUGGAACUGCCUUUCAUACUGGCGAUCUUGAGUCCGGAAGAGGUGAGUGGAACUCCUAGUGUAGAGGUGGAAUUCGUAGAUAUUAGGAAGAACACCAGUGGCGAAGGCGGCUCACUGGUCCGGUACUGACGCUGAUGUGCGAAAGCGUGGGGAGCAAACAGG